rnacentral:rRNA from 1 species
UACAGAGGGGGCAAGCGUUAUUCGGAAUUAUUGGGCGUAAAGGGCGCGUAGGCGGCCUGGCAAGUGGGAGGUGAAAUCCCUCGGCUUAACCGAGGAACUGCCCUCCAAACUGCUUGGCUUGAGUCCGGGAGAGGUGAGUGGAAUUCCCAGUGUAGCGGUGAAAUGCGUAGAUAUUGGGAGGAACACCAGUGGCGAAGGCGGCCUGCUGGGCAGUGGCUGACGCUGAGGCGCGACAGCGUGGGGAGCAAACAGG